CCAAGUGCUAGACUGAAAGAGGAAUGUAAACAGCUUGAUGGAGGGGUGGUUCCUGGUGCACCUGUGGUUUUGACAGCUUUUGCUGCUGCUUGAGGAGGAAACAGGUUGCCUGUUUGUUCUUCAAGAGCACUUCUGGCAUCCAGGUAUUAUGCAGGCAUGCACUGCCAGCUGUGAAAGAUGCUGCUUCCUUGUCACUUCAGAGAAAGAUGCUCCUGAAGGAAGAUCCCUCUUGCUAUUUCAUUCAGGGAGCCUGAGAAAAGAAGACAAAAAGGACCAAUUGCAAGGCACAGGGCACUAAAAGGGCAGGGGUCUGAAGUAACUUGUGUAAAAGUCUUGCAUUCAAAUUCCAAGGUGAUACAAUAAAUAAGAAUGCUUUAACUGUGGUAAUUUUUUAAAGUUGUGAGUCCACUAAUGGAUGAGUUAACGAAUAGCAAGAAAAUGCAUAUGUAUCUGAUUGUGACUGCCUGUAUCUUUAUCAUCCAGUGUUCCAUUCUAGGAAAGAGGAGGGUGUAGGAUAACCUGCCCUAUGUCAAGACAUUACAAAUGCAGAAAAAUAAAAUACUAAAUUGUUAUGCCAGGUUAUUAAUUGAGACGUUUCACCCGAAAGAAUGUUUCUCAGAUAGUCUAGCACUGUGGCAUGCAUUGUUAAUCUCAUAACUAAAUGAAACAUCUACCUUAGGACAGAUAUCAAAAAAGAAAUUUCAAAAUAUAUUUUUAUCAAUUAAAUCCAUUAUAGAACUUCAAUACCUAAAACAAUAUAGUUUAAUUGAUAAAAUGGAUCAGUAGAACAGAGUCUGAGAUAGACUCAAGAGCAUAAGAGAAUGUGAUGUAUGAUAAAAAGAGCUUUUCAAAUCCAUCUGAAAAAGGUAGAUGAUUUAAUAAAUUAUGUGAGGCAGCUAACUCUCAGGUAGAAGGGAAAGCUUGAUCCCUUUCUUUCUUAUAUUAGUCUAAAGACCUUAUAGUAGACUAAAAAUAAUAAUAAAAGACUGAAAUGUAAAAAUUAAAUAGUCACAAAAAAUUAGAAAAUGUAAUAGUCUUGGAGUAAGAAACUCCAUUUUAAUAACAUCAUAAAAUGGUUUCUAAAAACCACAAAGGAAAAGAUUUAUAACUAUUAUCAUAUAAACACACAAAACUUUCUAAUGGCAAAAGAAAACCAGCAUAUGGUGAAUUUGAAAGGAAGAUGAAAAUUAAUGGAAAUAUUUGCAAUAGCAUCAUGGAUAAAACAUUCAUAUCCUUAAUGUAUAAAAGCUCUUACCAAUCGAUGAAGGCAGAGAAAAUGGUAAUCGCAAUAGAAAAAUUGGCAAAGGAUCUAAAUAGGCAAUGGGCAAAAGAUGAAAUGUGAGAGGCUAGUAAAAACAUGGAUAGAUGGAUGGAUGGAUGGAUAGGCAGGAAGCUAGGGAGAAAGAGGGAGAAAGGGAGUGGAGACACCAGCAGGGGAAGGGAGUGAAGGAGAGCAGUGGGGAGGAGAAGGCAAACAAAAAGCAAGGGAAGAGGGAGAGAAAAGAAAUCGCCAUUGUUCCCUUACCAAACCAGACAAAGACUUGGAGAAUGGGCCACUGUCAUGCCCUAAUGUACAAUAUAUUCCAGUGCUAAUUAUGCACAGAUUUGACCUAGCUGUCUCAAUUCUAGAAAGUCACUAUAGCUAAUAUUAUAGCUAUGAAAAUAUUCACAGCAGAAUGCUUUAUAAUAGGAAUUAUAAUAAAGAAAACAACCUAAAUAUUCAUCAGGUAUUAUUUAAUUGAAUGAUGGCACAUAUUAUAAUUGGAUUUUAUAGUUCCAUUGAAAUAAUUAUGUAGGGUUAAUUUAUUUGAAGAGAUGUCCAGAACAUAUUGUUAAGUGGAUAAAAAGAGAUUGCGGAAUAGCCUAUAGGACAUUUUCCUAGUAUCCUUAUGUGUUUAUAUUAACAUAUGUACAUAUGCAUAAAUAUCCAUAAGGAUAAUUAUGAAAGGACAUAAGUGAUGGUAAUUUCUAUGUGGUGGCAUUUGAAGUAAUAUAUCAUUGUACAUUUCUGCAUUUUUUAUAUUAUGUGACUUUUUCCAUGAAGGUAUAUCGUUGUUACAACAUGAACAAGUUAUUUUCAAAAGAUAAAAAAGCAUUUUGCUAAUUUUAAUAUUGAUUUGCCUUUUUUUGGAUUGGUUUACUAACUUGUGCUUUUUAUCCUAAGCAAAGUAAGAUGAUUGUCCAUGCAUUUCCCCUCUAGCAAUAUUUUAUCUGGAAUUAUGGUGCCUGAAGAAUUAGGGAAAGUUGUGUGUGCCUAUCUUUCUGUGUUUACCGGUUAUUCACUCUUGGUGUAUUUGGCAUUUUGUUUAAUCUAUAAUUCAAGAUUUCAUGAUCUAGUUUAUAAUUACUUUCAUUAUUGUAAAAUCUUACAAUUUGUUAGGUCAAUAAAUAGGGUUAUAAAUAAAUGAUUUUCAACCUUUUCUUUACAACAACCCCAAAUGCCUCCAUUUAGUUUUGAACACGUCUCAAUAUAUCCACAAAAAAGCCUCUAAACAAAAUUAAGUUUAAUUCUCUUUAAAGGAAAGCACUUCUACAGACCAUUUUAAGGAAGUGGGGGGAGCCAAUUUAAAUAAAUUAUCAGAUACUCGUUUUAUACAGAUGAGUACUGCUAAUUACAAUCAGUCUCAUCUAUUCAUUAAAACUAGUCCGGCAAGCUUGGAUAAACUUUGUCAGCAGUUAGUCACUGCAUUUAUUUGAAAGCCUUAAAACAACAUUUCUUUAAAUAUGUAUUUUAAGUACAUUUUACUUAUUUAGAUCAUUUUCUAGGCAUCCCUAAAUAGUGAGGUUUUAUAAUAAUUCUAAUUUGUGCAUGUUUCUUCUUUUUUGAUAUGUUUAAUCUUAGGAAAUGUGAGGAUUUUCAAUACUGUCCUCUGAUAUUCUCCAUUCUGUACAUGUAAAUCCUCAGUUGUUUCAAGUUAUCAAGUAUGUGUCCAGAGCAAACUGUGUUUCAGGAGAAUCCUCCCAUUGUUGUCACAUGCAGUUUAAUCUGGUGUAAUUAAUUUCUUAUUUGACUGUCCCAGGGUGGUGUCAUCUAAGUUAUAACAUUGACUAGUCAAUGGAAUAGAGAAUGUGCUUGGCGCAUGAUGAAAAACUCUAAUCGAAUUGGGCUUACCCUUAUAAAACCACUAUAGCAUAACAACUUGCUCUUCUUUCCUAGAUUGAUCAUGGAAAAUGCACUGACUGGGUUUUUUGUCUCCUUAUUGUCAUUUCCCCCCCUAAAAACUUAAAGUGUAAAUUAUUCCAAGUGGAGCAAAUGGUCUUUCUAGGCCCGUUUCAUCCAAGCCCGCUUUGGGCCGAUCCUUUAAUUAUACAAUUGGCUUGUUAUUACAAGCCCACCAAGCCAGAAACCUGCUGGGGGAUUUCCAACCAGAGAUCUAUAUGUCUUUGCCACCUUAGAUAAUAGCCUAACCCACAACUCCCCUCCUUUUUAUAAAUUUCAACGGCUGUGUCUUGUUAGAAGAUAAACAGUGUACAUGAUGUUACAAUUCUUUCUUCAACUGAACAGGUCAGAUGCCAUUUCAGCCUGUGUAUACACUUCUUUUUCUAGCAUUGAGCCCAGUGUCUGGCACAAAUAUCCCUAAAUACUUGUUGACUGAAUAGAUUUUAUUUUAAUUAACUUUAUUUAAUAAUUUUUAUUGAAACUAAUUAAUCUGAGUUAAAUUUAAUUGAGUUUUAUUUAUUAAUUUAAUAAAGAUAGCCUGAAAGUAUAGGAAUGAUAUUCUUAGUUAUAGUUUAAGUUAUGAGGAAAAUAAAUGAGACAGGACCUUUGUGGACUUGUGGCUCUCUGCUAUUUACUAGCAACAACAUUAGAAGUCUUAAAACUUAAGUGUUCUGUGAAAAUUCUUUUAUCAACUUCGCAAUUAAUGUAAAUCUACUAUAAUUAAUUUCUGAGAAACCUGAAAAGCCUAUUAGCUGGUAUUUAUAAACCAGCUGAUACUAACUUGGGAGAAUUGGUUGAAAUAAAUCUGCUAGUAUCAGCUAGAUAUGAUGUCCUGGCAUCUGUCCAAAUAGAAGCAGACUAUUUCCAAGUUUCAGAAAAGGUAAUUAAAUUCAACUUAAAAUGCAUCUAAAAGCCAUUGUCUGAUGUACUGGUCCAUGGAAAUAAAUAAUUGUAAAUUGUAUUACUGAACUAUUUACCAGGAGUUCUAAGCACUAUUUUAAUAUGCAGAUGUUCAUAAUAUUCUUAUGAACUGGAAAGGAGGUGCAUGUUUUCUGUGUAUAUUAUUUACCGGGGCGGCGGGGGGGAAACUUCAUGGAAAGUUAUUGGCAGAUCAUGAGAUAUCCAUUCUCUUUUGGGUUAUGGUUCCAUGUUUUUCCCAGUAGAACACAUCACCCAGCACCCUGUCGUCAGUAAGGCAGAUACAUUUUAGCUUUUUUCUUAAAAAGCAAAUGGCUCCUUGUAAACAGAUGGUACCACACUCCUUUCCAGCACUUUCCGUAACACUCCUGUUCUCAAAGGCUUAGCCUCUGAUUGAGCUAUAGCCAUAAUGUUGUCUAGCAAAUCUCAGAGCUCUGUAUCUUCUGAACUGAAAACACAUGGUGCUAACUUGCCUUCUUCACUUCCCCCGCCCCACUUUCCUUCACCCUCUGCUCUCUCAUCUCCUCGCAUACACACAAUAGGAAACCUCACAAAGAGACACUGUUUCUGGCUUUUAGAUUCUUCCCUAAAUCAAAAAUUAUGGUGUUAUUCUCCUCCUCUCAUGCUAACCUACUUGUUAUGUAUUUGUUUUUUCUGUUAACCUUCAACUUGCAAUCUACUUGACUACCCAGACUCAUAAUUACUUCUACCUACAUUUAAAAAUUGUUAAGUUUCAAAAUUUACUUGCUUAUUUGCUUUUUCUUUUCUAAAAUAGAUGAUGCAAUAGAUAGAUACACAUUUGGUUUCUCUGCCAAUACCUGCUAGACAAAGAGCUCCUUGAAGUCUUUGUAUCCUUAGCAUAGGAUGGCUUAGUCAUUCUCUGCCUGCAGAUGACCUUGUCCUGUUGUCUGCUUGAUCAAGAACCCUCUUUCUUAAAUACAUUCUUAUCUUAACACUUCUUAGGAUUCAGUUAAAUAGUUACCUAAACCCCAACAUGACUCCACAAAAGUGUAGGAACAUUGCUUAUCUCUGUAGCUGUUCACCACAGCUAUUAGUCUCUUUUUGAAAGGAGACAGGAGGCCAAAUGUUAGGAGCUGAUAGAAUGUACUAAGUAUAGAAUCAUGUUCAAGAAUACCCAACCUUUCAAAAAACUAAAACGUAUAAAUCUCAGGUAAAAGAGACCGAAUGUUAAAUGUAAUAUCAUUUUUAUACCUGAUCUUUCGGUGCAGUUGCAAACAGGUAUCUUUUAUUCUGGUAAUAUAAUCCUAAUUAUGAAUCACAGUUUUUAAAAAAGACACAUUAAAUGUAACAUCCACUUUUCUGUACACUUUGACUUUUAACAAUGUGCAUGUAUUAUCUUCAUGAUAAUAAACUUAAUUUUUAAGAUAUGUAGUUGAAAAUAGAAACAGAAGAAAUUGAGUAAUUAUUAGAUGAAUUUAUUCUUCAUUAGAGCUCUUUCAUUUAAACAGGUCAGGUUAUGAAACCAUUCUUAAUGUACCUGUUUAAUACUUAGAAGGGAUGAACUUCUCAGAUAAUUUCAUCAAGGCCAUAGGAAGCCAAGGAAUAAGGUGAUGAUAAAUUCAUAUCAGUAAAAUCUUCCAUAUCUACAUGUUGGUGUGAAAACACAGUGGUUAUGUGUUUUUCUUCAUCUUUCAUUUUUAGAAGAGAAAAAAGGGAAUUUGGUUUGAUGUUACUGGUUUUGAUUUGUGGAAACCCAAAAGGUCCAGAAAAAGGAUAAAUCCUUAUGAA
rnacentral:lncRNA from 1 species